ensembl:misc_RNA Y_RNA Y RNA
AGCUGGUCUGAUGGCAGUGGGUUAUCAGAACUUAUUAACAUUAGUGUCACUAAAGUUGGUAUACAACCCUCCCACUGCUAAAUUUGACUGGCUUUUU